GCAGUGGGGAAUCUUGCGCAAUGGGCGAAAGCCUGACGCAGCAACGCCGCGUGGGGGAUGAAGGCUUUCGGGUUGUAAACCCCUUUCAGCAGGGACGAUUAUGACGGUACCUGCAGAAGAAGGACCGGCCAACUACGUGCCAGCAGCCGCGGUAA
rnacentral:rRNA from 1 species